CUUCCAGUCGACGAGGUACAAGUACCUCGCCGGCUGGAAGGACACCCUUCCGGGCGACGAGGUACAAGUACCUCGCCGGCUGGAAG
rnacentral:miRNA from 1 species